rnacentral:rRNA from 1 species
UGAACGCUGGCGGCGUGCCUAAUACAUGCAAGUCGAGCGAACAGACGAGGAGCUUGCUCCUCUGACGUUAGCGGCGGACGGGUGAGUAACACGUGGAUAACCUACCUAUAAGACUGGGAUAACUUCGGGAAACCGGAGCUAAUACCGGAUAACAUGUUGAACCGCAUGGUUCAACAGUGAAAGACGGUCUUGCUGUCACUUAUAGAUGGAUCCGCGCCGCAUUAGCUAGUUGGUAAGGUAACGGCUUACCAAGGCAACGAUGCGUAGCCGACCUGAGAGGGUGAUCGGCCACACUGGAACUGAGACACGGUCCAGACUCCUACGGGAGGCAGCAGUAGGGAAUCUUCCGCAAUGGGCGAAAGCCUGACGGAGCAACGCCGCGUGAGUGAUGAAGGUCUUCGGAUCGUAAAACUCUGUUAUUAGGGAAGAACAAAUGUGUAAGUAACUAUGCACGUCUUGACGGUACCUAAUCAGAAAGCCACGGCUAACUACGUG